GCCUGGCUAGCUCAGUUGGUACAGCAUAUGACUCUUGAUCUCAGGGUUGUGAGCUCAAGUCUCAUGUUGGGUG
rnacentral:tRNA from 1 species